UGGGUAAUCUUUUGAAACUUUAUCGUGAUGGGGAUAGAGCAUUGCAAUUAUUGCUCUUUAACGAGGAAUCCCUAGUAAGCACAAGUCAUUAGCUUGUGCUGAUUACGUCCCUGCCCUUUGUACACACCGCCCGUCGCUACUACCGAUUGAAUGGCUUAGUGAGGCCUUCGGAUUGAGAUUCGGAGUUUGGCAACAGACCCUGGGUUUUGAAAAGUUGGUCAAACUUGGUCAUUUAGAGGAAGUAAAAGUCGUAACAAGGUUUCCGUAGGUGAACCUGCGGAAGGAUCACUACCAAUUUUAGCGAACCUAAUCCUUUGGGUUAUGGUCUCGCGAAAAACUGUAUUUAAAACCCCACUCUUUAUAAAAUGAAUCUAUUAAUAUAAUAAUAAAUAAAGAUCACUUUCAACAACGGAUCUCUUGGUUCUCGCAUCGAUGAAGAACGUAGCGAAGUGCGAUAAGUAGUGUGAAUUGCAGAAUUCCGUGAAUCAUCGAAUCUUUGAACGCAAAUUGCACUCUCUGUUACGGAGAGUAUGCCUGUUUGAGGGUCAAUAUAAAUAAAUCGGUAUGUUGCUUUUUCUGUUACGUUCCGGAGUUUGGGUUAUCUUAGCUUUUUUAAGGUUUAAGAGACUUAAAAUUAAUCCUUUUUUGUGCAUUUUAGACGUACAUAAAUUUAUUUUAUUCGUCUGUUCUAAUGCCAAAAUUUUGUUAGAUGCAAUCAUAUCAUGUGGUCCCGUAUCUAUAAGUUUUCAUAAUCUGACCUCAAUCAGGUAGGAGUACCCGCUGAACUUAAGCAUAUCAAUAAGCGGAGGAAAAGAAAAUAACAAUGAUUUCCUUUAGGAACUACGAGUGAAGAAGAGAAGCUCAAAUUUUAAAUCUGUUAGGUUUACCUAACCGAGUUGUAAUUUGAAGAAGCGUUUUCUGCGUAGUUUGGUCAGCCUAAGUCCUAUUGAUUGAGCAUCAUGGAGGGGUGAUAUCCCGUCGGUUGAUCAUUGCGCGCUUACGAUACGCUUCGAAGAGUUCAAGUUGUUGGAUGCAGCUAAAAUGGGAGGUAUAGUUUCUCUCUAGCCUAAUUACCGGCCGAGGAACCGAUAGCGGAACCAGUA
rnacentral:rRNA from 1 species